UUUCUCUCUAGAAUUCUCUGCUUUUGAGGUCACAAGGACAAAUACGAAGGGAAUUCUAGAAGCCCAGGGUCCAGCUCUGGCCCUGUUCAUUGGCAACAAUGAAGAAAAAGCAGCCCUACUGUUAUGCUGCUGCCCCCAGCCCACCCCCUUCCCCGCCCCCUUCCCUCGCCUCCUCCCCCUUACCUGCUCCGCUCUGCCCCCGCCCUCAGCCUGGCCCUCUUCCUGCUCGCCUGCCUUGCCCAGCCAGGCUCCCAUCUCUCACCGGCAGGCCCUCUCUUCCCUUUGGAGGCUGCAAGGCUCACUGUGUCCUCAGGCCCCCUGGGGCCCCCUGCACCCCCAGGCCUGCCAGCCCCUCCCUCUUCGGGCUCUUCCCUCGGCGCCUGGCCUCCCUCUCUGCGAUUCACUCUUCCUUUGCUCGGGAUCCCCCUUCUGGCCCUUCUCUGGCCUCCAGCCACCUGGGCAGACUUCUCAACUGUCCCUACAUCUUUCCUGCCCCGUCACCUGCUCCUUCCAUCUCCCCACCUUUGGGUCAUUUUGCAGACCGUUCCAGGGGCCCAAUGCCCCUGCCACCAGCGGGCACCCGGCCCGCUCAGAGCUCUGUGAGUCAGGCACCUGCUGGACGCAGGGAGCAGCCCAGGGUGGGCAGCUGUGGGGCCGCCUGGCGGGCCCUCCAGCGCUCCGGGAAGUCCCCUUCUCCACAGACAGAAGCCAGGAAAGACUGGACUGGCCAGAAAUGGGGGCACCCACCUCUGUACUCUUCUGUCUGCCCAACUGGGCCAGACAGCUCGAGUUGGGGCAGUCCCAAAGUGACAGCGUGUCCCCCGAGGAAGACUCCUCAGUCUUGACACCGCCUUCCUGCGGGCUGAGCGCCCUUGACCUGAGAACACUCCCUCGCACUGGUGCCUCUUCCCUGGAUUGAGGGUCUGGGGAGCCCGGAUCCCGCCUGCUGAUGGUCUCAAGUUUGCAAAUGUUUGUGAAGUGAAUGCAAUUUAUCAGGAAUCUACAACCUUAGGCUCUGACUUUUAAUGCCAAGGGCACAGUGGGGGGGCGAGGAGGGGAUGGGCAGAGACCCUUCCUGGGUCGCUGCUACCUCCUCCCUCCCUUCACGGGUGGAUCCUACCCCAAGCAGAGUGCCAGGCCAAAGAGCCAGGUAAGAACCUGCUCCUUGGUGCUCCGGCUUCCCCAGGCCAUUGGCAUGCCCCAGGCUGGGCAUGGCAGGACACCAGGGGUGCCACCCAGAUGGAGGAUGGGGGGACAGGCUCUUUUUGGAGCUCAGCAGAACACUUCGGCCCUGGGCCUGCUGGUGGGGGCAUGGGUGGCAGGCCAGAGUGAUGACUGAGG
rnacentral:lncRNA from 9 species